UGCCAGCAGCCGCGGUAAUACGGAGAAAGCGAGCGUUAAUCGGAAUUACUGGGCGUAAAACGCGCGUAAACAACUUUGUAAGUCGGAUAUGAAAGCCCUGAACUCAACCUAAAAAUGGCAUUCAAUACUGCAUGACUAGAAUAUAGUAGAGGGAAGUGGAAUUUCCGGUGUAACGGUGAAAUGCGUAGAUAUCGGAAGGAACACCGGUGGCGAAGGCGACUUCCUGGGCCAAUACUGACGCUGAGGCGCGAAAGCGUGGGUAGCAAACAGGAUUAGAUA
rnacentral:rRNA from 1 species